CAGGAGAGUGUUCAAGACGGGAAUCUCAUCCAAGUUAGCUCAGAAGCCUUUGAAGUGGGAAUGCAGUUUAUAGUCCUCUGGUAAUUCCUUCCUUGAUAGGAUGGGGAUAAGGCAUUUUGCUGUUGGGCUGUUGGUUUUUUUUUUUCCUCUCUGAAUGGAAAAUGACCACCAUUAGAAGAGGGAAGACUGCACCGACCCUGAGUGCAGUUCCUAGCCUCAAGAGGGAGUGAAGAUGAGUCCAGCAGCUGAUCACCCAACACUGCUCUACAGCCAGCUUGCCUCUUUACCCCACACUGAAAGCGAAAGACCUACCACUGCCAUGACCAGAUACAUAGCAUUGAAUGGAGCUUUUCCCUUUUGUGCCUCACUGUCCUCAUCCUCUGUCUCCCUUUCCAAUUAAACCAUGGGAACUUCAAAGGCUCUUCUCUAGCCCAGGUUAACGGAUACAGUCCUAGAAGUGUGCUGAGGCCUUUAGGAGCUACAAUACCAAAGUCCUUCAGGAUUUUUUUUUGUUUCCAGACUGCAGUCCAGCAAAGCUCUUGUUUGAAAAAAUGAAGGAUUCCAACCAAGCCUCAACUACAAACUGCCUUGUUAGAAGAUGCAGUUCUCUGAAAUGCAAUGACAAACAAUAAAUAAUCAUCUGUAGUAAAA